CUCAGGUGAUUUAGACAACAAGUAUUUUUUCGUUUCUUUACUAUUUAUUCCAAUUAUAAUUAGUGUUCAUAUCCAGUCUUCAAAUGUCAUCUCCCUUAAUCCAGCAUUUUUUGCUUGGCAACAUAAAGCCGUAUAAAAUGAAUCAAAGCACUCAUCUUCACUCUGAUUCUUUUCUACUAACUUGACCCCUUUCAAUGCUACAUUAAUUUGCUUCUUAAGCAUUUCCGGAUAACACAAUGACUUAAAAACUCCCUUUUUCUUUACUUCAUUCUGAUCCCCAAAUCCAAGAGCUAACACAUAAUUAUCACAUGAAGUCCUCCUUAUAAAUUCUUUAUGUCCGAUGUUUUCUUCAAGCUGAGGUCGUUCCUCCACUCCGUCAGAAUCUUUAACAUUAAAUGUUUUAAACAUUCUUUCCACCAUUUCACGGUGCUGUUCAUCUCUUCUAAUCGUCAUCUUCUCCACGAUGUCGCUUUUGCUCUUCCGUCAAAAUCAUCAUCAUUCUCAUCGUUGGAUCAUCCUUUUAUUUUCAUCGUCCGAUGUUAGAUUUCCUUCUGACAUUUUGACCUUCUAUAUCAAAGCUCGAUUUUCUUCUUCUAAUUCACUCUUGGAAGGCAUUUUGGAAUCUUUCCGUUAACUUGAUCUUCACGAUCCUACCAAUUAAGCCAUGUUAUGUUUAGAACGAUCUAACAAAUACACUCCAAAUACUUA
rnacentral:lncRNA from 1 species